rnacentral:rRNA from 1 species
CCUACGGGAGGCUGCAGUGGGGAAUAUUGCACAAUGGGGGAAACCCUGAUGCAGCAACGCCGCGUGAAGGAAGACGGUUUUCGGAUUGUAAACUUCUGUUCUUAGUGAAGAAUAAUGACGGUACCUGAGUAAGAAGCCCCGGCUAACUACGUGCCAGCAGCCGCGGUAAUACGUAGGGGGCAAGCGUUAUCCGGAUUUACUGGGUGUAAAGGGAGCGUAGACGGCGAUGCAAGCCAGAUGUGAAAGCCCGCGGCUCAACUGCGGUAGUGCAUUUGGAACUGUAUGGCUGGAGUGCAGGAGAGGCAGGCGGAAUUCCUAGUGUAGCGGUGAAAUGCGUAGAUAUUAGGAGGAACACCAGUGGCGAAGGCGGCCUGCUGGACUGUAACUGACGUUGAGGCUCGAAAGCGUGGGGAGCAAACAGGAUUAGAUACCCCUGUAGUC